GCUCCGGAUGGAGUUUUUGCUUGGACGGUUGAGAAAGCUUGCGUUUUCUUUUUUUAUUUACCGUAUAAAAUGUAUAACAAAACUCUUUUGUUCGGACUCCUGCUUCAGAAUAAUUUUUUCAGAGAAAGACUGAUCAUCAACCUAACCUUAAUCCUUUAGAAGAUACCCAUCUUUCUUUACGGCGAUUUAGCAGAUAUGCCAUCAAAUCAUGAUUAUAUAAACCUUAAAAGUAAAGGUUCUGGAGCUCAAGCAUAACGUCGAGCGAGAGAGAAAGGUGAAACUCCCGGUGAGAGUAAUGGACAUCAUCAACAACAUUGAUCCAUAUCGGAAGCACAAAAAGCAUUCCAGGAGAAGAUAUGUCCCGAGAAAGAAGUAACACAACUACAACUCACUGACGGUGAUGAACAUCAUGGGCAACGAACCAAUACAUGGAUAUCCGCUCAUCCCAGAAAGCACGCCAAAGUAAGGUAGUGCAACAGCGCCAGAAGGUCUGUCCUUAUACACUAUAUCUAUACUAUGUGUUUUCGCAACUAAGGAAGGUAUCCUUAGUUAAUGUAUUUGUAUCAGAUAUGGCUAAAUCACGUGAAGAGGUUACAAAGUUAGAGAAGUACAGGGAGUUGGCCGCACAUCAGAUCUUCAGAAUCUGCUGUAAGGUAUUUGAAAAUAAGGUACAUAAGCCCAUUGCGAUAAGUAAGAAUCUUGAAGAUGAAAGUAUUUUUAAAAGAAGUAGAAAUUGAACACCUAAAAUACUUGGAGAUCAUUAGUUGUGUAUAUCCCGGUUAUUGUUUAAAUUACUUAUCUUAAAGAUCAUGCACUCUCUUAACCACAUAGCACGGAAGGUGGUAAACAAGUAUGUAUAUUUCUAUCUUUAGUAAUGUCAUAUAUUAGUGAAUUCUAAAUCUGAUAGGAUACGAUUAACUACUAACUGCAAUUCAUCAAGUUGAACGGUGCAGUUGGUGAGCUUUCUGAAUAGAGUAAGUGGUCUAAUGAUGAUAACAGGAGCGUCUAAGGUAUCCAUCUACUGAAUAUGAUUCUUAAUUUGACGGAGCAAAAGAAGUAAGCCUACACUGCUUGCUCCAAGUUUGCAAUUCCUUUCUUACAACAACACCUGAUUCUCUUACUACCAACAGCGUGAAGCAUUGGAUGGAAAAUAGGUUGCAAAGAAAAAAAGUCUUUAGAGUACCAAAUUCUGAUUCUUCAAUUAAGAGACUAGCUUUCUGGCGUUUGAAUUAUUAUAUGUCUUUCCGUGGCUUCUAAUUUGUUUUGUAGUGGUUGUGCACUCUUAUCAGCUUCCACCUCUGAAUGGUAAACACGCUUUUCAUCAGAACUGGAUCGGUAUUGCUCCCUGUCUGUAAAUAUCAAGAUCUACUUCUUUCUCUAGACGAACGAGAGAACAAAGGGAGCACAAAUGCAGAGGGAAGGAGGAUUGGAGAAGUUGAGAAUCAACCCAAUUUCAUAACCAAAAAGACCAAACAAAAUAUUGGGAAUUUAUCUUAAAGGAAGAUGUCAGAAAGUAAAAUCUUCAUUGUAUUUUUGGUUUCCUUUCACACCUCUCUCUUCACUGCCGUCUAGCAUAUUCUUGACUGUUUUCCUAUUGAUGAAAUCCCAGGUGCAAUCAUUUCGGGCUUCUGAUCAUGGUUUUGAGUUCCUGUCUACUAUUAAGUAUAGAGUGAAAACGAAAAGGUCUUUCAAUUCCAUUUUUGUUAGUAUUCAUUUAAAUCUCUAUUUUAAACUCUCUUUAUAUUGUAGUUUGUCUUAGAAAUUGGUGUAGGGAGAGAGUUUAGUUAAUUAGCUUCUUUACCAACAGGUAAGGCUAGAUACAAUAUAUAUGCAUGUAAAGAAUAACAAGGCAGGUCUUGGUGGGAAUACAAUAGAGAAGAAAAUGAAGCUGCUUCCUAAAAUUCUGCCUGAGAGGAAAAAUUGUGAGUCCCUCCCUCUCUCUCAUUCUGUCAAUUUUAAUUGCUUCACAUAACAUUUUGAAUGAUUGCAGCUGGCUGAUAUUAGUUUUAUGGAAACCAAUGCCGAGUAGUAGCUGCUGCUCAUGCCUCAACCUUUUAUGAAAUGACGUAGCCUGGAUAAUUUAUAAGAAUAUUAUCUGUUUUAUGUUUUUCGUUGUUCCUUAGAAUCCAAAAUCUCAUGAGCAGAUUAAUCUGAAUGAUAAGUUUUUUCGUAAUAUAUUUGUGAUUUACA